rnacentral:rRNA from 1 species
GAUGAACGCUGGCGGCGUGCCUAACACAUGCAAGUCGAACGGAGUCCAGCCUUUAAGACCUUCGGGUCAAAGAGGGGAAGACUGAGUGGCGGACGGGUGAGUAACACGUGGGCAACCUGGCUCAUAGAGGGGGAUAACAGAGAGAAAUUUCUGCUAAUACCGCAUAAGCACACACUGCCGCAUGGCAGAGGGUGAAAAGAGAAUCGCUAUGAGAUGGACCCGCGUCUGAUUAGCCAGUUGGCAGGGUAAGAGCCUACCAAAGCGACGAUCAGUAGCCGAUCUGGGACGGUGAACGGCCACAUUGGGACUGAGGCCCCGCCCCAACUCCUACCGGAGGCAGCCGUUGGGGAUAUUUCACCAUGGGGGGAACCCUGAUGCAGCGACGCCGCGUGAGUGAAGAAGUAUUUCGGUAUGUAAAGCUCUAUCAGCAGGGAAGAUAAUGACAGUACCUGAAUAAGAAGCCCCGGCUAACUACGUG